GGAGAAGAAAUACAGCAAAGCAUUCUAAAUUGUAUCAGAAGGGUUGCCUAUAUUCAGUUACAGUAGUUACAAUUCAUGUUUUCUUCUCAUAGGGCAUGAGUAUCCACAUGACAUUAGAAUGAUAAAUAUUCAAAAGAACUUCAUUUCACGGGACUUAAGAAAUUUUACAGCUUUCCCUUCCCUACCUGGGGUAAUCAUGAAAUACCUAAACGCUGAUAUACAUGGGAAAUUCAUCUUGAAGCCCAGAAACUCAGCAAGAAGCCAGCAGCAAAAAAAUAUGAAGGAAAAAACUUUUAAGAAACAAAGAACUUCUAUGACGUCGCAAGUUGGACAGGGGCUCUGUGCCCCACCAGGACCAAGUAUGCACCACCCCACCAGUUAAAAAGGGAAGAAAACUGUUUGGAAGAGAACUCAGUUCCAUUUGUCAGGAUGGCAUCCUGCCCGCAGCAAUUCUGGUGUCACCAACAUUAUCCCCUACUUUUGGGGACAGUCAGUGUCUUUUACUGGCCUGGAAACAGGUAUAUAAAUUAAUCUGACUGACCAGAGAGCUUUGUGGUCUGUUUAUCUCUACUUCCAACAAAUGGAUUAACCAAAAAAUAGACUGCCUCAGGACAACACAGACAACUAUUCUUGAUGGCAGAGGAAGCAAUUAAGAGGAGUGAGUUUAAGAGGAAUGGAUACAUAAAAUGUGGUACAUCUACACAAUGGAAUAUUAC
rnacentral:sRNA from 1 species